rnacentral:tRNA from 1 species
UCCGGUGUAGCUCAAUGGUAGAGCGGCGCCCUGUUAAGGCGAUGGCUGUAGGUUCGAGUCCUACCACCGGAG